CCUACGGGUGGCAGCAGUGAGGAAUAUUGGGCAAUGGUCGGGAGACUGAACCAGCCAAGCCGCGUGAGGGAUGAAGGUACAGAGUAUCGUACACCUCUAUUGUCCGGGAACAAAGGCGGGGACGCGUCCCCGGAUGAGUGUACCCGAAGACAAAGCAUCGGCUAACUCCGUGCCAGAAGCCGCGGUAAUACGGAGGAUGCGAGCGGUAUCGGUAUUUAGUGGGUGUAACGGGUGCGCGGGCGGUCUGUUAAGACAGCGGAAAAAGCCCGUGGGUAAACCCCGACCCGCCGUUGAAACUGGCAGUCUCGAGUUGGAGAGAAGUAUGCGGAAUGCGCGGUGUAGCGGUGAAAUGCAUAGAUAUCGCGCAGAACUCCGAUUGCGAAGGCAGCAUGCCGGCUCCACACUGACGCUGAGGCACGAAAGCGUGGGUAUCGAACAGGAUUAGAUACCCCUGUAGUC
rnacentral:rRNA from 1 species